GUGCUGUCUGGAUGGCCUGAGGGUCCUCUGCAGCUCAUAAAGGCACGGCUAACAGCAGGUUUGGGGUUUUUUUGGUGCUGUCUGGAUGCCCUUGGGGGCCUGUGUGGGGUGAGCUCUGUCACCCCUGUCUGCUCUGCCCUGCUUGCACCUCAGCUGCCUUUGCUUCUUGGACUGGGCCUGGGAGGCACUGCCUGUGCUCUUCAUUUGCAGUUUGCCUGGCUCACAAAAGGACAUUUUUGGGCUCAAACUCCCUCUGGAUUGUGUGAGGUUGGUGCUUAGAAAUGCCAGCUUACUGUGGGUGUCCAGCAAGCUCUGGAUAUAGGGAAGAAAAGAGAGGAUGUGCUUACAGAGGACAGAAGUUUUUGUGAGGUGCUUCCAGCCGAAUUUUCCUCGUGCAUCGUGCUGAGAGUCAAGGGCCCCUCAUCUUCAUGACCACCGUGGAUUUCUCCUGCUGGGAAGGACAGGAUGUUCACCAGGGAGCUGCUGUCCAUGGGGCAGCGGGCCAGGAGAUGGAAAGCUCCUGUGUGCUGGGUCAGGGCAGUGGAAAAAGUCAAAGUUUAGGCAUGGGGAGCAGUUCUCUGAUUUACCGGCGUGUGUAGCUUUCCUCAUCCUUGAUCCCAGCGGACACAACCUGCCUGAUUCCUCAUCCUUGAUCCCAGCGGACACAACCUGCCUGGCUCCUCAUCCUUGAUCCCAGUGGACACAACCUGCCUGGUUCCUCAUCCUUGAUCCCAGUGGUCACAACCUGCCUGGUUCCCACCCUCCUGUGAAGGAGCAUGCUUUGGCCAGAAUAAUGCAGAUAACCACUGCUGAACACCUUUUUUGGGUGGCCUCAAGUGUUCAGAUAGGCAGGAAGGAUGUGCAUGGGUGGUACCUCAGCCUCAAAAUUAGAAUUUGGGGAGAAAAAUGGGUCAGUUCUUGAAAUUAAAACUCCUUGUCUGGCUGUGGGCUUCUGGCUGUCUCUGACAGCCUGUCUGGGUUUCUCUGAGCGGGGACUGAGGGCAGCCUCCCGCCGGUCAGCAAGCCCUGUGUCACUUCCUUCCCUCCACCAGCCUCACUCUUUCCACAGAGCAGACUUUCAAAUGAACGUUUUCGGUUCAUUAAAGGUGGUUUUGGAGACACGUUUAGUCCUGUGAGAGGAAAAAGCAAACCAAACAAGCAACCAGCCCUCGUGUGGACCCUGUGGUGCAGGCAGAAAAAGAGGGGUGGGAGAAGCCUUCUCCACAUGGGGAGAAGAUUGUUGUUUAAACACUCCUGUCCCUUUUCAGCAGCUCUCCUCAGUGCCUCCCUCAGCUGCACCUCAGUCUCAGCAUGGCUCAUCCUCCUUGCAAAUCCCCCCAGGGCACGUUCUCCUCUCAGUCACUGGGAGCUGAGGAUGUGCAUCCUCCUGGAUCAGGCUGGGGACAUCACCCAGCCCCUCCCUUGACACUCCUGUACCCUGGGCAGAGAGCACACGACAGUAUGUGAGCAGGCAGAGGAGGGGAGGCUGGGAACCCUCACAUUAUUGUGGGGUUGUGGAGGCUGGGGUCUGGUAAUUCAUGGUACUGGGAACAGAAAGGGGAACCUCGGAUUUUGGUUAAAAAUUUCAGAGCAAAGAAGUGCUCCCGGCCCUUGGCUUGUGAAUAUACAUCCCUUUUCCCCCUAAGACUUUAAAGCACUGAAGGGUUUUUGCAUUGCAGAGGAUUUCUCUGCUUUUCCUUGUUGCAGAUCUCAGACAUU